UACGUAGGGGGCAAGCGUUGUCCGGAAUCACUGGGCGUAAAGCGUGCGUAGGUGGUUUCGUAAGUCUGAAGUGAAAGUCCAAGGCUCAACCUUGGGAAUGCUUUGGAAACUGCGGGACUUGAGUGCUGGAGAGGCAAGGGGAAUUCCACGUGUAGCGGUGGAAAUGCGUAGAUAUGUGGAGGAAUACCAGUGGCGAAGGCGCCUUGCUGGACAGAUACUGACGCUGAGGCACGAAAGCGUGGGGAGCAAACAGG
rnacentral:rRNA from 1 species